UACAGAGGUCUCAAGCGUUGUUCGGAUUCAUUGGGCGUAAAGGGUGCGUAGGCGGCAAGGCAAGUCGGAUGUGAAAUCUCAGGGCUCAACCCUGAAACUGCAUUCGAUACUGCUCUGCUCGAGGACUGGAGAGGAGAUUGGAAUUCACGGUGUAGCAGUGAAAUGCGUAGAUAUCGUGAGGAAGACCAGUGGCGAAGGCGGAUCUCUGGACAGUUCCUGACGCUGAGGCACGAAGGCCAGGGGAGCAAACGGG
rnacentral:rRNA from 1 species